GGGUGUGUGACCCGAGCGGCAAAGGGCGCGGACUGUAAAUCCGCCGCGUGAGCUUCGGAGGUUCGAGUCCUCCCACACCCACCA
rnacentral:tRNA from 1 species